ACUGAUUUACCACAGAAGUUUAUUCCAUGCCAUUUCAUACAAAUGCAACAUUUGAUUUCCAUUUCCCAUUAAUUAGGGAUUUACCGCUAGUAUCAAUCCCUUGUCGGAGGCAUAACACCAACAUUAGCUUUUUUGAAACUUCUACCAUGGAUGCUGAUAAAAGUAUAUCAUCUUUGGGCUCCGUAUGGGUACAAUACAAUGUCGAAGAGACUCCAAUUGCGAUGGGUCCAUUAAAACACGAGUAGGUGAUUCACACAAGACUUGUGAGACUAUUGAACCCAAUAAUGAACUCGUUAAUACCCCAGCUCGACGCAUUGCCCAUUCCAUUAGUACAUCCUCAAAAUUAAAAGCUUCAGG
rnacentral:lncRNA from 1 species